AGACAAUUAGUCUCUUCUGGCAAUAUCCUAAUUAAUCCUGUUAUUAGGCUUUGCCACUAAUUGCUGUAGGAGAGGUCUGGCCCGGAUAAAGCCACUCCUUUUGGCUCGGUGCCUCCAGCGCAGCCUGACCCGGCUGGUGGGGCAGCAGAUGGAUGCUCUGGGUGGAAUUCUGCCUGCAGGAAUUCGCCUUUGCAUGGAUGGCAGCCCCCAAGGAGCAAUGUGGUGUGGAGCCCCUUCCUGCAUGUCUGGGAAACUGAAUUCGGGGGCAGCAGCACGCCGUGUGUGCUCAGCGGUGUGCCCCAGCCCUCAGGAGCUGCGUGUCCUUGAAUUGGCUGGGGCUCGCCUCUUGCUGAGCCCUCCCUGCUGAAUCACACAGCCUCACCUGGAUGUGCUCUGUGUAUGAUGCAG
rnacentral:lncRNA from 12 species